UACCGGCAGCUCAAGUGGUAGCUGUUUUUAUUGGGCCUAAAGCGUUCUUAGCCGGUUUAAUAAGUCUUUGGUGAAAGCUUGUAGCUUAACUAUAAGAAUUGCUGGAGAUACUAUUAGACUUGAAGUCGGGAGAGGUUAGAGGUACUACCGGGGUAGGGGUGAAAUCCUAUAAUCCUGGGAGGACCACCUGUGGCGAAGGCGUCUAACUAGAACGAUCUUGACGGUGAGUAACGAAAGCCAGGGGCGCGAACCGG
rnacentral:rRNA from 1 species